rnacentral:rRNA from 1 species
CGCGUAGGCGGCCUGCUAAGUCGAACGUGAAAUCCCUGGGCUCAACCCAGGAACUGCGUCCGAUACUGGUUGGCUUGAAUCCGGGAGAGGGAUGUGGAAUUCCAGGUGUAGCGGUGAAAUGCGUAGAUAUCUGGAGGUACACCGGUGGCGAAGGCGACAUCCUGGACCGGCAUUGACGCUGAGGCGCGAAAGCCAGGGAGCAAACG